AAUAAAUCGGGGGCAUGGGCACCUUGCGGCAUUGAGAGCCGUGCCCAUUCUUUUUCAUUUCGGCGAGGGGACCCGACGGAUCGUUCGUUACUCGGUGAGUGGCGAGCGAUCUGUGGUUCCAGU
rnacentral:sRNA from 20 species